AUUGAACGCUGGCGGCAUGCCUUACACAUGCAAGUCGAACGGCAGCACGGGUGCUUGCACCUGGUGGCGAGUGGCGAACGGGUGAGUAAUACAUCGGAACGUACCUUAUCGUGGGGGAUAACGCAGCGAAAGCUGUGCUAAUACCGCAUACGCCCUGAGGGGGAAAGCGGGGGAUCGCAAGACCUCGCGCGAUUAGAGCGGCCGAUGCCUGAUUAGCUAGUUGGUGGGGUAAAAGCCCACCAAGGCGACGAUCAGUAGCUGGUCUGAGAGGACGAUCAGCCACACUGGGACGGAGACACGGCCCAGACUCCUACGGGAGGCAGCAGUGGGGAAUUGUGGACAAUGGGGGCAACCCUGAUCCAGCAAUGCCGCGUGAGUGAAGAAGGCCUCCGGGUUGUAAAGCUCUUUUGUCAGGGAAGAAACACCGGCUCUAACACAGUCCGGGAAUGACGGUACCUGAAGAAUAAGCACCGGCUAACUACGUGCCAGCAGCCGCAGUAA
rnacentral:rRNA from 1 species